rnacentral:misc_RNA from 1 species
UCGACAUCAUAGACAACGACCGCGACCUGCUCCCAGAAAUCCUCCUAGUGAUCCUCCUCCGCUUCCCCAUCUGAUAAUCAACAAUCCAGUAGCACAUGAAUCCAAGAGUCGUAAGCAUGAUCGAUGCACCAAUCGCCAUGGUCGCCCAUGCCAGCCAUACAUCCUUGCCACUUACGACUAUGUAAGUUAGCGAAAUGAAAGCGACUGAUAUAAAGAGGCAUGCCAACCACAUUAG